rnacentral:rRNA from 1 species
GGAAGUAAAAGUCGUAACAAGGUUUCCGUAGGUGAACCUGCGGAAGGAUCAUUAGUGAAUAAACUUGUGUGGGUUGUUGCUGGCCUUUUCGGAGGCAUGUGCACGCUCGCCAUUGUUUCAUUCUUCCCUUCCACCUGUGCACUUUCUGUAGACCAGGCUGUCACCCUUCCGUGGUGCUCUACACUUCUGGUGUGAGGACUUGCUCCGGCUGUCCUUGGAUGGUCCUGGUCUAUGUCUUUAUCAACUCUUAUUGUAUGGUAAUGAACGUCAGUCUGGGUUCUAUACGACCCAUAAAAUUCUAUACAACUUUCAACAACGGAUCUCUUGGCUCUCGCAUCGAUGAAGAACGCAGCGAAAUGCGAUAAGUAAUGUGAAUUGCAGAAUUCAGUGAAUCAUCGAAUCUUUGAACGCACCUUGCGCUCCUUGGUAUUCCGAGGAGCAUGCCUGUUUGAGUGUCAUUAAAUCCUCAGCCUCACCAUCCUUAGUGGGUGGUGAAGUUGGAAGUGGAAGCUUGCUGGCUGUCUGGUCAGCUCUUCUGAAAUGUAUUAGCAGGGCCACUGUGUGUAGCCUACAGCUUGGUAUUGAUAGAUGUCUUACCAGGUUGACAGGAUCGUACAGAAGGUGCUCAGCUCCUAGUCGUCUCUGUGAGACAACGAUCUGACGAUUUGACCUCAAAUCAGGUAGGACUACCCGCUGAACUUAAGCAUAUCAAUAAGCGGAGGA